UACGUAGGGGGCAAGCGUUGUCCGGAAUCAUUGGGCGUAAAGAGCUCGUAGGCGGUUUGUCGCGUCUGCCGUGAAAGUCCGGGGCUCAACUCCGGAUCUGCGGUGGGUACGGGCAGACUAGAGUGAUGUAGGGGAGACUGGAAUUCCUGGUGUAGCGGUGAAAUGCGCAGAUAUCAGGAGGAACACCGAUGGCGAAGGCAAGUCUCUGGGCAUUAACUGACGCUGAGGAGCGAAAGCAUGGGGAGCGAACAGG
rnacentral:rRNA from 1 species